GAAUAUAGGUUGCAUUUCUGUAAAUAUUGACAAUGCAAUUUCUCAUAGGAACUCCUUUUACGGCUAAAACUGUACCACUUUUACUAUGAAGUUUUGAAAAAAAUCUUAUCCUAGAAUGAAAGUUCAUAUGCACCACAAUUUUUUUAAAGGUCAAAAUAUAGGGCUGUGCGGCAUAUUUUCAACGUUUAUAUGCCUUGAACUUCUCAGA
rnacentral:lncRNA from 1 species